GGUUCUUUAGUAUAUUUCGUUAGUACGUUUGAUUUACAAUCAGAUAGAUCAUUUUCUUUUGAAAGAAUUA
rnacentral:tRNA from 1 species